GAUGAACGCUGGCGGCGUGCCUAAUACAUGCAAGUCGAGCGAACAGACGAGGAGCUUGCUCCUCUGACGUUAGCGGCGGACGGGUGAGUAACACGUGGAUAACCUACCUAUAAGACUGGGAUAACUUCGGGAAACCGGAGCUAAUACCGGAUAAUAUAUUGAACCGCAUGGUUCAAUAGUGAAAGACGGUUUUGCUGUCACUUAUAGAUGGAUCCGCGCCGCAUUAGCUAGUUGGUAAGGUAACGGCUUACCAAGGCAACGAUGCGUAGCCGACCUGAGAGGGGGAUCGGCCACACUGGAACUGAGACACGGUCCAGACUCCUAAGGGAGGCAGCAGUAGGGAAUCCUUCGCAAUGGGCGAAAGCCUGACGGAGCAACGCCGCGUGAGUGAUGAAGGUCUUCGGAUCGUAAAACUCUGUUAUUAGGGAAGAACAAAUGUGUAAGUAACUAUGCACGUCUUGACGGUACCUAAUCAGAAAGCCACGGCUAACUACGUG
rnacentral:rRNA from 1 species